AGGGACCUUGCCUGGGUUAU
rnacentral:miRNA from 1 species